rnacentral:rRNA from 1 species
GACGAACGCUGGCGGCGUGCCUAAUACAUGCAAGUCGUGCGGACCUUGUUGAAAGCUUGCUUUUAAAAGGUUAGCGGCGGACGGGUGAGUAACACGUGGGCAACCUGCCUGUAAGACUGGGAUAACGCCGGGAAACCGGGGCUAAUACCAGAUCGUUUUUUCCUCCGCAUGGAGGAAAAAGGAAAGGCGGCUUCGGCUGCCACUUACAGAUGGGCCCGCGGCGCAUUAGCUAGUUGGCGGGGUAAUGGCCCACCAAGGCAACGAUGCGUAGCCGACCUGAGAGGGUGAUCGGCCACAUUGGGACUGAGACACGGCCCAAACUCCUACGGGAGGCAGCAGUAGGGAAUCUUCCGCAAUAGACGAAAGUCUGACGGAGCAACGCCGCGUGAGGGAAGAAGGCCUUCGGGUCGUAAAACUCUGUUGCCGGGGAAGAACAAGUGCCGUUCGAACAGGGCGGCGCCUUGACGGUACCCGGCCAGAAAGCCACGGCUAACUACGUG